rnacentral:rRNA from 1 species
UACGUAGGGACCAAGCGUUGUCCGGAAUUAUUGGGCGUAAAGAGCUCGUAGGCGGCUGUCCACGUCGGGUGUGAAAGCUCAGGGCUCAACCCUGAGAUGCCAUUCGAUACGGGACGGCUAGAGGUAGGUAGGGGAGAUUGGAAUUCCUGGUGUAGCGGUGAAAUGCGCAGAUAUCAGGAGGAACACCGGUGGCGAAGGCGGAUCUCUGGGCCUUACCUGACGCUGAGGAGCGAAAGCUGGGGGAGCAAACAGG